AUUAUUUGAGGUGGUAAAUUUCGUUGCAACCACGCACCCUAUGGGUUAAAAGAGAUGCAGGAUCCGCGACGCCUGCCAAAUAAU
rnacentral:ncRNA from 1 species